CUAAACGGCGCCUUAAGCGCCGAUGAGACGCGUGCGAGGCAAUCGGCGGUCCAGGGGAUCCAGCCAAGGCGAGGCGUCUGAGGGGAUCCGGCGCUCGAGCGGCUACCUCCAGGGCAACCUGUUCUUCUCGAUGGUGCUCCAGCAACUGCAUAAUUCAGGCUGGAGGUGAUGGAGGGCACUGUACAAGAGGACAUGUGUAUGGGAACAACAAUACACCAGGUAAUGUUGUUGGCGAUGGUCAAUUGAUUUGAGCAUAUUUGGAGACUGGUAGGCGCGCGGCCGUACUGCCCGAGUCACCACCUGAGAGAGGAUCCCAGAGGAGAUGGGCAGAUGCUCCAAAGGAUUUUGUACAUAGAGCAACUUCCUCUUCAUCUAGCUGAUCUUUUCUCGAAAACUUGAGCGACUGGACUUAUGCACUUGUCCCUUAGAGUCAAUGGCCAUAGCCUCUUGCGUAUUCAGGCCCACUCUUCUUUCACCCAAUAUGUCUAUUUCCAAAUA